UUAGUUCUUGUCAAGCUUUGUAAGAGUUGGUCAACAAAUCUCUAGCCAUUUUCUUCAUUCAACUACUAAUCAGUAGUAGUAAAAGAAAAGAAAGACAUGACAAAAAGCCAACAUGUUGUUCAUGCGUGCAAGUAAUGUUAAUACAUAGGCAAUACCCAUAUCUUUGCAAUAAAGGCACAUAACCUUAUCCUUACCUUCAUUUUUUUUUGAAAUCCCAGACACACAACCAUUCUGUACACUCCUCACCUUCACUCCCAUUUGUGAAGAAAAACCCUAAUACCCUAUUAUUCCCAGUCGACACCCCAUCUAUUCCCCUCUCUCUCGUGCAACACCUACUCCGGCGACGGAGCCGGAGGUGCCGGCUGGUGCCGGUUGUUCUUGUUCCGUUGUGAUCUCAACCCCAACCACAACCACAAACCUCCUCCUUCCUCUCCGAUCUAAACGAAACCCGGUCACCGGUGCCGGUCGUAUACCGGCCACUGUUGUGGCCAUGUUCUCCAGCGACAAACACACACCUAUAACCCCUCACCCGUUCGUGUCUGACUGGCGACGAAAGUGGUAGCGCCGUCACAAGCGGCGGCGGCGGCCGUUGUUUCCGUUGAAGAUGACGAUAAUGAUUAAACUGAUGACAGUGCUGGGGAUUGACGAAGGUGAUGGUGAUGUUAAUGGAUCGGAGCGGCGGACGGCUGAUAGCGGGUCAGCCGUUCACGGUGGUGGCGGCGGUGGCACUUAUUUCCGACAAAAUCUUACGGUUGCAUUUUUAAAACUAAGGAACGGUUGGAAUAGGAGAACCCAUGGAAAUUCGAGUACCUAGCAGGCGUUCACUGUUUAGAAGUCUUAGCCUUUUGCUUCCGCUGUGCAAUGAAGAUACCGGUCCAGUCACGCCAGCUCUGAUAUUUCGGGGUGUGACACACCGUCCACCACAAACCACCGAAUACCUAAAACCACCCUGCCACCUUUCCAACGCCGACGAGCAGUUGCCGGGAAAUCAGCGUCUCCGCCGUCUUCUCUGCUUCUCCGAUCUCUCUCUCUCUCUCUCGUUGCCACCACCACAGUCGUGGCCGGCCAUUAAAUCGAGGCGGAAUGGGGGUGGGGAGGUGUAUUUGAGAUGAAAAGGAGAAGAGGAGAUUGAGGGAUGGUUGUGGGUGUUCGUUGUCGACAAGACCAGGCGUCGGAGAGACAGAGAGAGAUGGGGUGCAACUGUGGAGGUGUUGUAGCUUAGGGUUUCUUCAAGAAUGAAGAAUGCAGAAGAAAGAAGAUGUCGGCUGUUAUUUAUUUAUAAAAAAGAAAUGACCGUUUUGCCCCUGAUGAAAAGGACAAAAUAAUAGGGUUUUAUAAGACAAACAAUAGCUGAACCUGAUUUCAUUUUUGGACCAAAAUGACAAUAAAACUGAAACCACAGGGACCCAGAUGUAAAAAGUUUAAGAUUUGGACUAAAAUGGCAAAACUGUCCAAAUCUCAAGGACCAAAAUGACAGUUUACUCUAUCCAAACACUAAACUAUUAAACUGUUGUCACAAAACAUGCACCAACAACAUUCAUUUUUUUUUUUUGAACGGUUAACGGUUCACUCCCCUUAAGAAAUUCGCCCGCACUGCAGGUUCGAAUCCCAGGCCCCCCCUAAGGUCCAGCCGCACUGAAAUUACUUAAUAUUGGUACCAGAGUGGACUCAAACCUGCACCCCUUCAGAAGAAACCCCCAAAAAGAAAACUCCUGACCUCCUCCCAACCACUUGGGCUGGGAUCAUUGGCAACAACAUUCAUUUCUAUGGUUUUUUUUAUUUGUUAUUGCGAAUGCCGGAAGUAUAAUAAAACCAUAUCGAAAAACGAAUUACUUACACAUCGAAGGAAUCCCAUUAAAAUUUUGAAGUUCACACUUUCACACGAACUAUUGAAACAAAUCAACCCCCUUUCAUCGAUCGUAAACCCUAUAAAUUCAUACUCAUCUUCCAGAAUCAAAAUCAAAAUGUCAGACAACGUGCCAUUGGAAAUCCGAGAGGAAAUCAUGAAAAGGCUUCCAGUAAAAUGGUUGAUUCAAUUCCGCUCCGUGUGCAAAGCAUGGAAGUCUCUCAUCGAUAGCACUGAUUUCAUCAACCAUUAUAGCGGUCAGACGCAAUAUCUUCUUGCAAGGUACAAAAACAGAGUUGAUUAUAAGCUAAAAUAUGCUUUAUUCCCUGACGAUCAUACUUUCCCACAUAAGAGACUUUCCCUGAAUUGUCACCCAUUGGUUAACAUGCUCUACUGUCCUAAAUCAAUCGGCUUCUCUCACGGUUUGUUGUGUUUCUACGGUGAUUAUCAAGAAGGCAGUGAUGAUACUCCCUUCUCUGCAACGGGCAGAGCUGUUGUUUGGAAUCCUUCUAUUAGAAAAGCGGUUGCUGUUGAUGUCCCUAAUGUGUCGAAUGAGUUAGUGUAUGAAACCUUUCUAGGUUUUGGGGUUUGUGGUGAGACUAAUGACCCUAAGCUUGUCAAGAUUUCAUAUAUUAUUACUAGGUGGUAAGAUAGAGAAAGUGUACCUGAUAGCAUCCCUUGGCAAGUAGAGGUUUAUACGUUAAGCACGGGGGCUUGGAGACGUCCGUUUAGCAGCAAUCUCCCUCGUAAAUCAAUUCACUUUGAACCUUAUCAGGUAGUUAUAGAUGGAAUGCUUUAUUGGCUUGCUACUGAUGGUACGAUUGGUGUUGAUGGUGGAUAUCAGUCUUAUAAUCUGAUUAUUUCGCUUGAUAUCACGAGUGAAGAAUUUAGGGAAGUCAACCUUCCUCAUGAAUUAGCACACUUGUCUAUUGAUCUUUUGUCACUUUGUAAGCUGAGGGAGUCUCUUGUUGUGAUUGAACUUGAUAUAGAGACCAGGAACCUAGUUUUUCGUGUAUGGAUGAUGGAGGAUAUUGUUCCAAAAUCGUUUACGAAGCUGUUCAGUAUUGAUAUACCAGAUAAUGUAUCAGAAGUUUAUUUAAAGGGAUUUAGGAAGACUGGCGAACCUAUAAUUGAUAGUGAAGAACGCUAUCCUGAGUGGACUGGAUCACUUGCUGUUUAUGAUCCCUACUCAAAAUCCAUUAGUAGUCUUGGGGUUGAUGGAAGUGAUAUUUCGUCUUUUGAGUAUUCCUACAUCGAAACCCUACUUUUGCUUUGAUCAGACCGUUUUUACAAUUUAUAAAAAGAAGGACAAAAGGAUUUUGAAGCAUUCAAGCAAGCCACAGAAGACCCUUUUUUGGAUUAGAUAUCUUGGUCAUUUUCUGAUUUGAUGAAGUUGGAAUUGAACAGAAGGCGUGAUUUGUUAAAUAUCAUCCUGUCCAACAAGUUACUACAUUUGCAAAAUCAUGAAAGGUAUUACUACAGUUACCUGUAAAGUGGAUCUCAACAAGUUACCUGUGUUACCUGUAAAGUGGAUCUCAACAAGUUACCUGUGAAAUAUCGUUGGAAUGUCCUCGGUUGUGUACUUUUGAAGCCGUUUCCUAAUGUUACAUGGUUGUAUUCUGUUUGUUUCUUUUAGUUGGGCCUUUCUAGUUGAUGGUUAAACCUUUUAUCUCAUGUUGUAAUGUUGACAUCAAAAUUAUUGUGUAAUAAUCAUGCACUACAAUAUAUCCCCACAAUUAAGACUAUAUGGGUAACAUCGCACCCUGUGCUUCG